UGGAAAUGAAAGCAAUUCCAUUUGCCACACGGGCUCCACAAAUGCUCACAUUACCUGCAAGGGCAGGCGGUGAGAGGACACGGGGGAACGGCUUCCAACUGGCAGAGAAAAGGCUGAGAUUGGAUAUUCAGGAGGAAAUUCUGCUCUGUGAGGGUGGUGAGGCCCUG
rnacentral:lncRNA from 1 species